AGAGUUUGAUCCUGGCUCAGGACGAACGCUGGCGGCGUGCCUAACACAUGCAAGUCGAGCGAUGAAGCCCUUCGGGGUGAAUUAGCGGCGGACGGGUGAGUAACACGUGGGUAACCUGCCUUAUAGAGGGGGAUAGCCUUCCGAAAGGAAGAUUAAUACCGCAUGAAAUGUUUUUAUCGCAUGGUAGAAACAUCAAAGGAGUAAUCCGCUAUAAGAUGGACCCGCGGCGCAUUAGCUAGUUGGUGAGGUAACGGCCCACCAAGGCGACGAUGCGUAGCCGACCUGAGAGGGUGAUCGGCCACAUUGGAACUGAGACACGGUCCAGACUCCUACGGGAGGCAGCAGUGGGGAAUAUUGCGCAAUGGGGGAAACCCUGACGCAGCAACGCCGCGUGAAUGAAGAAGGCCUUAGGGUUGUAAAGUUCUUGGUUUUCUGGGACGAUAAUGACGGUACCAGAGGAGGAAGCCACGGCUAACUACGUGCCAGCA
rnacentral:rRNA from 1 species